ACCUACGGGGCGCAGCAGUGGGGAAUAUUGCGCAAUGGGGGAAACCCUGACGCAGCAACGCCGCGUGAAGGAUGAAGGUUUUCGGAUUGUAAACUUCUUUGAUGAGGGACGAAUAAUGACGGUACCUCAAAAACAAGCCACGGCUAACUACGUGCCAGCAGCCGCGGUAAUACGUAGGUGGCGAGCGUUGUCCGGAAUUACUGGGUGUAAAGGGCGUGUAGGCGGGAAUGCAAGUCAGAUGUGAAAUUCCGAGGCUUAACCUCGGCGCUGCAUCUGAAACUGUGUUUCUUGAGUGCUGGAGAGGAAAGCGGAAUUCCUAGUGUAGCGGUGAAAUGCGUAGAUAUUAGGAGGAACACCAGUGGCGAAGGCGGCUUUCUGGACAGUAACUGACGCUGAGGCGCGAAAGCGUGGGGAGCAAACAGGAUUAGAUACCCCUGUAGUCG
rnacentral:rRNA from 1 species